CGCUGCUUGGUUGCAUGUUAUUCAUCAACAGUGUGAUUGAAAAUUAGUAGCUAGCUGUAUAGUAGUGUGUCUCCACCUGAAGAGGAAUCCAUGUCAUUAAUCAGGGUGAACAUGUAGCUUUGGAUUGAGAGUGGAAUAAUUCCGUUCGUAUGCCUUGCCACGUAGAUAACCUCCUGGACCUUAUAAACAGAUUUUUUUAGACACUCAUCUUAUGAAGGAAACGUGACGACCAGCAGCCAAAUUGUUCUUCACCAAAAUGCCCGUUUGGCAACCUUUUCCUUGUCAAAAUGUUUGAUUGAAAAUAGUACGCUCAUGGGAUUUCAGCUUGUUAAUUUACUUGGGAGGGUGAAUUCAUGGAAGCAGCAUAUUUGAUUAUAUAUUAAUAUUAAAGUAUACUCAACACACCCUAGAAAACAAAAAAAGUUUCACAACGGCAACUACUUUGUACAAAUAUUGAUCAGGAGGUGUUUGUUUCUCCACUUGGUUUGAGCUUUGAUAUACGCUAGGGUUAUAACGGAAGUAUAGGACUCAAAAUUGGUCUCGUACCAAUUCUCGCCCAGUCAAGUCUUGUCUCUGUUUGAAAAGUCCCAAAUUAAAAAGUACCCUCUACACGGCAUCCUUUUAACUAAUAUAAUGUUAAAUUAAACUAAAUUAGUCUUGUUAAAAUGAUAUAAUGGUUAAUUUAUGAUGACGUCAUAUAGAUAUAUAUUUAUGAUGAAGUCAUUUAUCAAAGAUCAUUAUUCUAUGGGACGGAUCGUAGAUCCAAUUCAGAGGUGUCCUAUGUAUUUAAGACGGGAUUAGACGGGAUCGAUACAUUCCUAAUAAUCAUGCUGGAGAAAGACAUCAAAGUCUUAAACUAUAGGCCAUGUUAAUAUUUGGUCGAUAUUACAAAUAUGUAAAACAAUUGAGAACAUCCAAAUUUGAAAAAUGCUAACAUUGUUGAUGAAAAUACACACAUUCAACUGGAAUGUCUUUUCGGAAUAUCGAUACGUGAUGUGUUGAAUAGAAAUAUUCGUGGAAAUGAAUGAAUGGAAAUUCUUUAGAUAUUUUAAUAAAUGUACAUAAGUGUUUUGUUUUUUUUGUAAGUAGAGAGAAGGAAUUAGGAAUUAUACAUAUACAUAUGUAUGUAUUUAUUUCAAGGAAAGUUAAAAUAUAUCAAUAAGAGAUACAUGUAUUUUAACCCCAUGAUCUUGUUUGUUCAUAUAUCAAUUCGGCGAAAGAAGGAAUUAGAUUUAUACACACGGAUGUGUACCAUAUUAUCUAUGUUGCUUAUGAAAAUGUAUAUAAGGAACAUUCGUAGCUGGUUAUUAUAAAUAAUAUCACAACAUUAAGAAUAUGUAAUAUGGCUGUAGAAAGUAAGAUCUCAAACGCGUUGAAGAUUUUUUCUAUUUGAAAAUUUGAGCAAUGUUUUUUUCCCAAAGAUGCUAUCAUUAUUCUUGAAAAGAAAACAUCUUGUUAUAAUCACUUUUUUAUUUGAAGUUCUAAUUUUCACUGGCUAGUGUAACCUCUAUGGUGAUUACGGCUAGUGAUGUUAAUCAUGUGUAUUUUUUUAGCUUGCCCGCUUUUUUGAAAUUGGUAAUCUGAAGAAGAAUUAUUUUUUCUCCACUGUUGUCAGUAUUAUUUAACUACUGAGUGGUGAACUUUUCUAAGUAUAAUUAUAUUCAAAACCUGAUUUAAAAUUUGUGUGUGCUCUUAAAGACAUAGAGUAUCCUUGAUGAUUUGUUGCAGAGUUAUCCAAGUAAGUCCUUGUUGGAAUGCAAAUAGAAUUGAGGAACGACAUUAGAGUAAUUUUUGUAUACGCCCUUGUUUAUUUCCUUCUUCCCAUGU
rnacentral:lncRNA from 1 species